GACUUCUCUAUUUUGAAGGAGGCCGAAGACUCUCCUUGCUGCUCGCUGCCGAUUAGAGGAUGGCAUGGCCCUCCAUUCCUCCAAUAGAAGAGGAACGAUCCUCUCUCCUCUCCUUCUUGAUCAGAUGGGAAGUGGUUGAUACCCAAAGAGGAUCAGCACGGGAUCUCUCUCCAGCCUCCUAAUUAUGAAAUUGAUUUUCAGUCAACCAAGCAUCC